rnacentral:rRNA from 1 species
AUGACUACCUUGGAUAUGACCAAAAAUAUUGCAUAUAUGCAUAUUUGUCAGGUGAUUUCUAGUGCAAACUAUUCAAUAAUCUAUUUAUGUUAUCCAGAACAAAAAUACUUCACACACUUUUGUGUUUUGUCUAAUUGCAGGUGUAUGGGACAUUUGUACAAUCCACAUAUGAAGAUAAGGAAGAAAGAGAUGUUUAUUUGCUGUCCAAAAAGUUCUCUCACGUCACUUUUUGGCCCAAGAGAAGAUAGAGUCCAAGUCUCUCACGUUCUGGAUUCAGAUUCGGACUGCACAGACAUACCUGACUCAAAACGCACACAAGUUUUUCAUACGGACUCCGAAUUGGGUGAUUCUUUUUUUAUUGGAAACUAG